GCUGUCAUCUAGACUGGUAGGAUGCUAGCCUUCCAAGCUAAUAACCCGGGUUCAAAUCCCGGCAGC
rnacentral:tRNA from 1 species